rnacentral:rRNA from 1 species
UACGUAGGGUGCGAGCGUUGUCCGGAAUUACUGGGCGUAAAGAGCUCGUAGGUGGUUUGUCGCGUUGUUCGUGAAAACUCACAGCUUAACUGUGGGCGUGCGGGCGAUACGGGCAGACUGGAGUACUGCAGGGGGAGACUGGAAUUCCUGGUGUAGCGGUGGAAUGCGCAGAUAUCAGGAGGAACACCGGUGGCGAAGGCGGGUCUCUGGGCAGUAACUGACGUGGAGGAGCGAAAGCGUGGGGAGCGAACAGGAUUAGAAACCCUGG